UACGUAGGGUGCGAGCGUUGUCCGGAAUUAUUGGGCGUAAAGAGCUCGUAGGCGGUCUGUUGCGUCGGCUGUGAAAACCCGGGGCUCAACUCCGGGCCUGCAGCCGAUACGGGCAGACUAGAGUUCGGCAGGGGAGACUGGAAUUCCUGGUGUAGCGGUGAAAUGCGCAGAUAUCAGGAGGAACAUCGGUGGCGAAGGCGGCUUGCUGGGCCCUUACUGACGCUGAGGCUCGAAAGCGUGGGGAGCAAACGGG
rnacentral:rRNA from 1 species